rnacentral:RNase_P_RNA from 1 species
GGAGUCGGCGAGAGGAUCGCUGCGGGCCCCUGGCCCGCGGAGGAAAGUCCGGACUCCACAGGGUAGCGCGCUGGGUAACGCCCAGGCGGGGUGACCCGACGGAAAGUGCAACAGAGAGCAGACCGCCAGCGG